UACGGGGGGAGCAAGCGUUGUUCGGAUUUACUGGGCGUAAAGCGCACGUAGGCGGAUUGCUAAGUCAGGGGUGAAAUCCUGGAGCUCAACUCCAGAACUGCCUUUGAUACUGGCGAUCUUGAGUCCGGGAGAGGUGAGUGGAACUGCGAGUGUAGAGGUGAAAUUCGUAGAUAUUCGCAAGAACACCAGUGGCGAAGGCGGCUCACUGGCCCGGUACUGACGCUGAGGUGCGAAAGCGUGGGGAGCAAACAGG
rnacentral:rRNA from 1 species